GUGGGGAAUCUUGCGCAAUGGGCGAAAGCCUGACGCAGCCAUGCCGCGUGAAUGAUGAAGGUCUUAGGAUUGUAAAAUUCUUUCACCGGGGACGAUAAUGACGGUACCCGGAGAAGAAGCUCCGGCUAACUUCGUGCCAGCAGCCGCGGUAAUACGAAGGGGGCUAGCGUUGCUCGGAAUUAAUGGGCGUAAAGGGCGCGUAGGCGGACAGCUUAGUCAGAGGUGAAAGCCCAGGGCUCAACCUUGGAAUUGCCUUUGAUACUGGCUGUCUGGAGUUUGAGAGAGGUGAGUGGAACUCCGAGUGUAGAGGUGAAAUUCGUAGAUAUUCGGAAGAACACCAGUGGCGAAGGCGACUCACUGGCACAAUACUGACGCUGAGGCGCGAAAGCGUGGGGAGCAAACAGGAUUAGAUACCCCUGUAGUCC
rnacentral:rRNA from 1 species